ACUCUCUGUUUAGGGCAAGUCACUGUGUACUCUCUGUUUAGGGCCAGUCACUGUGUACUCUCUGUUUAGGGCCAGUCACUGUGUACUCUCUGUUUAGGGCCAGUCACUGUGUACUCUCUGUUUAGGGCCAGUCACAGUGGACAGGUAUUCUGGGCCAGUCACAGUGGACAGGUAGUCUGCCACUGUGUACUCUCUGUUUAGGGCCAGUCACAGUGGACAGGUAUUCUGCCACUGUGUACUCUCUGUUUAGAGCCAGUCACAGUGGACAGGUAUUCUGGGCCAGUCACAGUGGACGGGUAUUCUGCCACUGUGUACUCUCUGUUUAGGGCCAGUCACAGUGGACAGGUAUUCUGGGCCAGUCACAGUGGACAGGUAUUCUGCCACUGUGUACUCUCUGUUUAGGGCCAGUCACAGUGGACAGGUAUUCUGGGCCAGUUGUGUACUCUCUGUUUAGGGCCAGUCACAGUGGACAGGUAUUCUGGGCCAGUCACAGUGGACAGGUAUUCUGGGCCAGUCACAGUGGACAGGUAUUCUGCCACUGUGUACUCUCUGUUUAGGGCCAGUCACAGUGGACAGGUAUUCUGCCACUGUGUACUCUCUGUUUAGGGCCAGUCACAGUGGACAGUUAUUCUGGGCCAGUCACAGUGGACAGGUAUUCUGGGCCAGUCACAGUGGACAGGUAUUCUGCCACUGUGUACUCUCUGUUUAGGGCCAGUCACAGUGGACAGGUAUUCUGGGCCAGUCACAGUGGACAGGUAUUCUGCCACUGUGUACUCUCUGUUUAGGGCCAGUCACAGUGGACAGGUAUUCUGGGCCAGUCACAGUGGACAGGUAUUCUGCCACUGUGUACUCUCUGUUUAGGGCCAGUCACAGUGGACAGGUAUUCUGGGCCAGUCACAGUGGACAGGUAUUCUGGGCCAGUCACAGUGGACAGGUAUUCUGCCACUGUGUACUCUCUGUUUAGGGCCAGUCACAGUGGACAGGUAUUCUGCCACUGUGUACUCUCUGUUUAGGGCCAGUCACAGUGGACAGGUAUUCUGCCACUGUGUACUCUCUGUUUAGGGCCAGUCACAGUGGACAGGUAUUCUGCCACUGUGUACUCUCUGUUUAGGGCCAGUCACAGUGGACAGGUGUUCUGCCACUGUGUACUCUCUGUUUAGGGCCAGUCACAGUGGACAGGUAUUCUGCCACUGUGUACUCUCUGUUUAGGGCCAGUCACAGUGGACAGGUAUUCUGCCACUGUGUACUCUCUAUUUAGGGCCAGUCACAGUGGACAGGUAUUCUGCCACGGUGCACUCUCUGUUUAGGGCCAGUCACAGUGGACAGGUAUUCUGCCACUGUGUACUCUCUGUUUAGGGCCAGUCACAGUGGACAGGUAUUCUGCCACUGUGUACUCUCUGUUUAGGGCCAGUCACAGUGGACAGGUAUUCUGCCACUGUGUACUCUCUGUUUAGGGCCAGUCACAGUGGACAGGUAUUCUGCCACUGUGUACUCUCUGUUUAGGGCCAGUCACAGUGGACAGGUAUUCUGCCACUGUGUACUCUCUGUUUAGGGCCAAAUAGCAUUCAAAUAGUUUGCUCUGUGUUUUGGUAAAUUCUUUCCAAUGUGUCAAGUAAUUAUCUUUUUGUUUUCUCAUGAUUUGGUUGGGUCUAAUUGUGUUGCUGUCCUGGGGCUCUGUGGGGUCUCUUUGUGAACAGAGCCCCAGGACCAGCUUGCUUAGGGGACUCUUCUCCAGGUUCAUCUCUCUGUAGGUGAUGGCUUUGUUAUGGAAGGUUUGGGAAUCGCUUCCUUUUAGGUGGUUGUAGAAUUGAAAAGCUUUUUUCUGGUCUCAGCCUAGUUCUGCUCUGCAUUUGGUGUUUUACGUUGUACAAGGAGGAUAUUUUAUUAUCAAAAUAAUGCAUGCAGUCUCAAUUUGGUGUUUGUCCCAUUUUGUGAAUUCUUGGUUGGUGAGUGGGCCCCAGACCUCACAACCAUAAAGGGCAAUGGGUUCUUUAACUGAUUCAAUUAUUUUUAGCCAAAUCUUAAUUGGAUGUCGAACUUGAUGUUCCUUUUGAUGGUAUAGAAUCCCUUCUUGCCUUGUCUCUCAGAUCGUGCACAGCUUUGUGGAAGUUACCUCGCUCCCUCCCUCCCUUUU